UGGGGAAUAUUGGACAAUGGGCGCAAGCCUGAUCCAGCAAUGCCGCGUGGGUGAAGAAGGUCUUCGGAUUGUAAAGCCCUUUCGGCGGGGACGAUGAUGACGGUACCCGCAGAAGAAGCCCCGGCUAACUUCGUGCCAGCAGCCGCGGUAAUACGAAGGGGGCUAGCGUUGCUCGGAAUGACUGGGCGUAAAGGGCGCGUAGGCGGUUCACACAGUCAGGCGUGAAAUUCCUGGGCUCAACCUGGGGGCUGCGCUUGAGACGUGUGGACUUGAGUGGGGAAGAGGCUCGUGGAAUUCCCAGUGUAGAGGUGAAAUUCGUAGAUAUUGGGAAGAACACCGGUGGCGAAGGCGGCGAGCUGGUCCUUUACCGACGCUGAGGCGCGAAAGCGUGGGGAGCAAACA
rnacentral:rRNA from 1 species